AUUGAACGCUAGCGGGAUGCUUUACACAUGCAAGUCGAACGGCAGCGCGGACUUCGGUCUGGCGGCGAGUGGCGAACGGGUGAGUAAUGUAUCGGAACGUGCCCAGUAGCGGGGGAUAACUACGCGAAAGCGUAGCUAUACCGCAUAAGCCCCAACGGGGAAAGCAGGGGGUCGUAAGGCCCUGCACCAUUGGGGCGGCCGAUAUCGGAUUAGCUAGUUGGUGAGGUAACGGCUCACCAAGGCGACGAUCCGUAGCUGGUUUGAGAGGACGACCAGCCACACUGGGACUGAGACACGGCCCAGACUCCUACGGGAGGCAGCAGUGGGGAAUUUUGGACAAUGGGGGCAACCCUGAUCCAGCCAUCCCGCGUGUGCGAUGAAGGCCUUCGGGUUGUAAAGCACUUUUGGCAGGAAAGAAACGUCGCGGGCUAAUACCCCGUGGAACUGACGGUACCUGCAGAAUAAGCACCGGCUAACUACGUG
rnacentral:rRNA from 1 species